ACCCAGUGCUUGGCAUCCUCCAGUCCCCCUUUCCCUUCCAUGAAUCCCCUGCCCUAUUGCGCAUGAUGAACACGUCCCAGAUGGAGAGCCGCACCUGGGCUGUGACAGCUCCCAGAUCAGUUGGGUUCGAGUUCUGGAAACAGCUGUGCGCCGAGCAUGGUAUCAGCCCCGAGGGCAUCGUGGAGGAGUUCGCCACCGAGGGCACUGACCGCAAGGACGUCUUUUUCUACCAGGCAGACGAUGAGCACUACAUCCCCAGGGCGGUGCUGCUGGACCUGGAGCCCCGGGUGAUCCACUCCAUCCUCAACUCCCCCUAUGCCAAGCUCUACAACCCAGAGAACAUCUACCUGUCGGAGCAUGGCGGAGGGGCUGGCAACAACUGGGCCAGUGGAUUCUCGCAGGGCGAGAAAAUCCACGAAGACAUUUUUGACAUCAUAGACCGAGAAGCAGAUGGAAGUGACAGCUUAGAGGGCUUCGUGCUGUGUCAUUCCAUCGCUGGGGGGACAGGUUCUGGCCUGGGCUCCUACCUUCUCGAACGACUGAAUGACAGGUACCCCAAGAAGCUGGUGCAGACGUACUCAGUGUUUCCCAACCAGGACGAGAUGAGCGAUGUGGUGGUCCAGCCCUAUAACUCCCUGCUCACGCUCAAGAGGCUGACCCAGAACGCAGACUGUGUGGUGGUGCUGGACAACACAGCCCUGAACCGGAUCGCCACCGACCGCCUGCACAUCCAGAACCCGUCUUUCUCCCAGAUCAACCAGCUGGUGUCCACCAUCAUGUCAGCCAGCACCACCACCCUGCGCUACCCCGGCUACAUGAACAACGACCUCAUCGGCCUCAUCGCCUCGCUCAUCCCCACUCCUCGACUCCACUUCCUCAUGACGGGCUACACCCCGCUCACCACGGACCAGUCGGUGGCCAGCGUGAGGAAGACCACGGUCCUGGAUGUCAUGAGGCGGCUGCUGCAGCCCAAGAACGUGAUGGUGUCCACAGGCCGGGAUCGCCAGACCAAUCACUGCUACAUCGCCAUCCUCAACAUCAUCCAGGGGGAGGUGGACCCCACCCAGGUCCACAAGAGUCUGCAGAGGAUCCGGGAACGGAAGCUGGCCAACUUCAUCCCCUGGGGCCCUGCCAGCAUCCAGGUGGCCCUGUCGAGGAAGUCUCCCUACCUGCCUUCGGCCCACCGGGUCAGUGGGCUCAUGAUGGCCAACCACACCAGCAUCUCCUCGCUCUUUGAAAGUUCCUGCCAGCAGUAUGACAAGCUGCGGAAGCGGGAGGCCUUCCUGGAGCAGUUCCGCAAGGAGGACAUCUUCAAGGAGAACUUUGAUGAGCUGGACACGUCCAGAGAGGUUGUGCAGGAACUCAUCGACGAGUACCACGCAGCCACGCGGCCAGACUACAUCUCCUGGGGCACCCAGGAGCAGUGACUUCCUCCCCACCACUUCCCCUGGACAACCCAAGGCAGUAGGCACACCGAAAUGGACCCAACGAGGGCCCAGAAGCUGGACACUGGGGUAGGAACUGGGUAGCGCCAGGCCUGAUGACUCACUGCCUUCCAGCCUCAGAGACGCCAGGAGGCCACCCCUGUGCCACUCAAUGGAGAAGUGAGUGAUGCUGUUGUCCUCCCAGGGCCUUUCCACCUGCAAUAUCCUCUACCUGGAAUGCUGUUGCCCAGAUCUUCCUGUGGCUAGCCUAAAUGUCACCUCCAGUAUCCCUUCCUGACUGUCCUACCUAAUGCUAUGACUCCUUCCAAUCUGUUCGUGUCACCCCACCCUUACCUUGGUAGCAUUUAUUCCUGUCUUAUAUAGUUUUCGAUUCCUUCUGGAGUGUCUGACAGCCUGCUCUAAUGUAAGCGCCUUGAGCUUGUCUUUGAUCACUGCUGGACCCCUGGUGCCUAGAGCUGUACCCGGUUCAGUGUUUAAUAAAAUGUUUCUUGACAUCC